UACGUAGGUGGCAAGCGUUAUCCGGAUUUACUGGGUGUAAAGGGCGUGUAGGCGGGAUGGUAAGUCAGAUGUGAAAACUAUGGGCUCAACCCAUAGCCUGCAUUUGAAACUAUCGUUCUUGAGUGUUGGAGAGGCAGGCGGAAUUCCGUGUGUAGCGGUGAAAUGCGUAGAUAUACGGAGGAACACCAGUGGCGAAGGCGGCCUGCUGGACAAUAACUGACGCUGAGGCGCGAAAGCGUGGGGAGCAAACAGG
rnacentral:rRNA from 1 species